UAGGGAAUCUUCGGCAAUGGGGGCAACCCUGACCGAGCAACGCCGCGUGAGUGAAGAAGGUUUUCGGAUCGUAAAGCUCUGUUGUAAGAGAAGAACGUGUGUGAGAGUGGAAAGUUCACACAGUGACGGUAACUUACCAGAAAGGGACGGCUAACUACGUGCCAGCAGCCGCGGUAAUACGUAGGUCCCGAGCGUUGUCCGGAUUUAUUGGGCGUAAAGCGAGCGCAGGCGGUUUAAUAAGUCUGAAGUUAAAGGCAGUGGCUUAACCAUUGUUCGAUUUGGAAACUGUUAAACUUGAGUGCAGAAGGGGAGAGUGGAAUUCCAUGUGUAGCGGUGAAAUGCGUAGAUAUAUGGAGGAACACCGGUGGCGAAAGCGGCUCUCUGGUCUGUAACUGACGCUGAGGCUCGAAAGCGUGGGGAGCAGACAGG
rnacentral:rRNA from 1 species